rnacentral:misc_RNA from 1 species
GCUAUAUCCAACUAAGAAGGUGAACUUGGCAAGAAUAAAGUUGAUUUUCCAGUACUUAAUAUGCAUCUUAUGAUAUCAGGACUUUUGUUACUUCAGCAUGUUAAAACUUGAGGUUAACUUUUCUCCAACCAAGGGAGAAGGACAUUCACAAGAAGAAAAUCAAGAAAAAUGAAGUCUAAAAAUUUGAGAAACUUUGAGUUUCAUUGUAGAAUUAAUAUAGAGCUUAUUUGGGACAUUAUUUAGUACUUUAUAGUCCUUAAAGAGCCUUAUAUUAGAGUUCAUUUAAAAGAGCAAGUUGCUGGUCUAGUAUUUUACAACUUUAAUUCUUACGAAUAGAUUGGAUAUCUCUAGAUUUAUUUUUCCAUCUUAUUUUGAGUAAAAAAAUUUGGGUGGGACUAUUCUCGCAACCUCAUAAGUAGUAUCAUAAUUGUUCAACCAAAUUCUGCUCACCAAGCUUCAUUUUGUUCUCCUGGAAAGUCUUUUUCCCAGUCCUCUAAUCUGCUAUACGAUGUGCUCUCUUUCACUUUGGUCAAAAUCAUUUUGUUUUGCUGUAAUUCAUUUCUAAUUUUCUAGUUGAUUCCUUUAAUUUGCUAGCUCUAAAAAAAUUAAUUAUGAAAAAAAAGGGUCUUAAAAAAUAACUUUUUCUUUUAGUUUUUACUGUUUAUAAUCUUCGGAAUCACAAGGUUGGCUAUGAGUAAUCGGUGCAAACCAUAGCACUUCAAUCACUGAUAGGCGGAUGACCUUAAUGAGGUGCGCCUAGGAUGCCUCUGCAAUAUUUCACAGAAUUUUUAAGAGAAAUCACUGUUUUUCUCUCUGUAUUAUUUCUCAGCCAAUUACUUGUAUACACACACACACUAAAGUAUAUAUGUGUAAGAAAUGUACACAAGAUUACAGCUCAUUAUACAGAAAUAGGCUAAAAAUUAAGUUGUAAACAUGAGAUUGAAAUUUCUUUUAUGUUGAUUUUCAAAUGAGAUUGGCUAAUUCAUGAGAUUUGGUUGUCAUAAGCUGAUUUUCCUAUUCAAAAUUUAAUUCAACUCUAUCACUCCCCAUUUUUCCUUUAUUUUCUCACUUUUUUCCCCUCCAUUUCUAGGUGUCUCUGAGAUCCUAUCUAGAUACUUCUUUGUUUUCUUUUCUUUUUUCUUUUUUAAAUGAUUGUGUUGCUUAAUUUUUAUAGACAAAAUAGCCAGUGAUGGAGGCAGAAAUUUAGUUUAGAGGGGCCAAAUUAAAUAUGUUAUUUGUUAAAUAAAUAAAAGUUGACACGAGAAUUUCUUACAAAAGUUAAUACAUUUUUAAUUGUUAACUGUUAAAUAUAGCUACUUUAGCAGCUAUCGGCUGUUAAUUGUUAUUAACUAUUAGUGGUUAGUUGUUUAUAUAUUGUUUAAAGAAUAAGUAUUCAGUAAAAAUAGUUGUUAGAUUAGUUGUUAAAUUUAAAAAUAAUGGUAUCAAUGGUAUCAUCUUUUUUACUCUAGUGAAAACACUUCAUCAACGUCUAAAAGCUAGGAAGGAUAACGUUUCAUAAACUACUCUCUCAACCUCUAAAUACUAAUAUAAACAUUGUAUUAUAAAACAAUAUAAAUAAGAGAAGUAGUGUUUUGACUUGAGUCGAAACACUAAAAGUUACCUUAAAGCUAUUGCCAAACAAGGCAAGAAAAAAUGGAGAGAAAUGCCACAUAUUAGCUAAUGUGGCAGAUUUCAUUUUUAGUCAAAAUUAAUUUGAGCCAUUAGAUAGAAUUGUGAUAAAUGUUAAAGGUUUAGAUAUUUCAUCCAAAAUUAAAAGUUAUGGAUAUAAAUACAAGUUAACGUAAAUUUUUAGCAUUUUUCGUCCGAUUGGCCUAUAAUAAAUCCAUAAAAAAUAAGCACCAUAAAUUAACUACAUAUAAAAAUAUAUAUAUAAUAUGUU